GUCGAGAAUCAUUCACAAUGGGGGAAACCCUGAUGGUGUGACGCCGCGUGGAGAAUGAAGGUCUUCGGAUUGUAAACUCCUGUCAUGUGGGAGUAAAGCCGGGUGUUAAAUGCAUGCCGGUCUGAGAGUACCACAAGAGGAAGGGACGGCUAACUCUGUGCCAGCAGCCGCGGUAAUACAGAGGUCCCAAGCGUUGUUCGGAAUCACUGGGCGUAAAGGGUGCGUAGGCGGCGCGGAAAGUCAGGGGUGAAAUCCCGGAGCUCAACUCCGGAACUGCCUUUGAUACUCCCGCGCUUGAGAACUGGAGGGGAGACCGGAAUUCACGGUGGAGCAGUGAAAUGCGUGGAUAUCGUGAGGAACACUAGUGGCGAAGGCGGGUCUCUGGACAGUAUCUGACGCUGAGGCACGAAGGCCAGGGGAGCGAACGGGAUUAGAUACCCCGGUAGUCC
rnacentral:rRNA from 1 species